UUUUAUAUAAAAAUAAUUAUAAAAAAAAUAAUAUCUAUUAUUUUGGAGGAGAUAUUGAUUAGAAAGUAUAGUUUUUUUUAUAUAAGUUGAAUUUACUACUGUAUUGAUACGUUCAAAGUUAGUAUUUUUAUGAUAAAUCAAACUAAUAAAAUAUAUUAUUAAUUUUCAAGAUAGUCUCAGAUAACAAAUAAUAAUAUAACUACACCCCAUUGAAAUUUUAAAAAAUAUUAAAAAUGUUGUCCCUAUUUUUUUUGUUUAUAAAAAAUAUAAGGUGGAAGUAAAAAAAUUAUAAAAAACAUAAGUUUUUUAUAUAAAAAUUUGGAAGUGAAGUAAAAAAAAAAAAAAAUCAUUGUGUAUUAAAAAAAGAAGAAAGGGAUAUUAAAAAAAAAAAGAACAAAGGUUAAAUGACACAAUUGUAGUUUUAUAAGAAUUGAGGAUAAAGUUGCCGUAAAAAAAAAAGGUCACAUCGAUGGAGUAGGGUGGGAAACAACUCUCUUAUUUAGUUCUAGAUUAGAUUAGUUAGUUUUCUGAAAGUAAUUGAGAGGUACUUUAUUUAUGAUUGUAUUUUUUAUUUUUAUUUUUUAUUUGUUCUUCACGAUGAAGAAUCAUAAAAUUGAUGAAAAUAAAUUUUUAUUUGUUUUUGCGUAGUGCCCAUUGGCCACGGGCAAUUACUAGUGUAAUUUUUAAUGCACUGACGACUAAACGAAAGCACACUCGAACCGAUGUUCUCUCCUCUCAUACUUCUUCUCUUCAUUUUGGGUUUAGGUGAGUUGUUGCUCGCUCUGAUCUAUCUCUAAGACUCUGUUUUUUUGCCUGUAUAUGAUAUCUGAGCUUAAUCGAUUCAUUUGAAUUGCAAUUUUUGUGCUGUGUUAUUUUAGAUCUUAUUUUGGUUUAGUUUGAUUUUAAAUCAAUGAUUUUGCUUCAUUAUGUGAAGUAUGGUGGCUUUUGUAUGAUCCAAACUGUGUUCUUUGGAUUUAUUUGUGUUUUAAUAUUCCUACCUACUUAUUGAUUUGGUGUUUUUGCUGUUAUCAUGAGUUCAUUUAUUACAUGCUAAAUGUCGUGAUAUCAAAAAUUAAGGACUUUCAGUGUUGGGUAUGCUCAAAGCGGUCAAACAUAGGUAUAAUUAACAAACAAGUUUUUUUUUUUUUUUUUCCUAUGAUGGUUAUUUGAAUUUCAAUUUCUUAUUUUUAUUGAGAAUUUCUGAAAAAUUUAUUAUAUAGAUUUCUUAUUAUAGAUUCAAAAUCAGCGUUAACAUCAUUGCCAUUCAUUACGCAUUUUUAAUUGUCUUAAUUUGAGAAAAAUUCAGCUCCAAUUACAAGAUUUAAAUAUCGGAGUUUUGACCGUUUAAAAGCAUUUGGGAGGUCUCUUUAUUAAAAGAAUCGGGAUUCAUUUAAAUUGAUGCCCGCAUUUUUAAAAAUGUGAAGAAUCUUUUUGUUAUUUAUCUUUUUAUUAUAGUUUCUUUAUCUAUUUGGGUUACAUAUGGGCCAAAAUGGGUGCUCAAAUGCGGUUACGUGAUAUUAUGAUUGUUUAUAAUAACUUAUACACAAUUUGCAAAUGUUUCAGGCCAACGUCACAAUCAUUACCAUCUCAAUCUUCAAAUCUCGGAAUAAUGGGUAUGUGGCCAUCCAUGGGAGUUCCACUAUGACUAUCUUUUAGCCUAUAUGUCGCCCUAGAAUUUGGGACAAUUGUAUGUUCAAGAGAAUAUAUUUGUUUUCUUCUGAUUUUUUGAUUCUGUUCUAUUGUUUUUUUGCUUCUCAUGAAUUGGGUUUUCUUCAAUUUUUUUAUUUUUUUAAUUCUGUUCUAUUAUUUUGAGGCUACUGUUUCAUUCGUCCUAAUAAAAUUGCCGGUUUAGUUCUCUAUUAAAGAUUUUUCAGUAUUGGUUUGAGUUCAUUUAACUUUUGUGUAAUGUAACUCUAUCUAGACCGAGGAUUUGGGAUAAAAGUGUUUAGUGUAAAGUUUUUCUUUACUUUGGUAAACUCAAAAUUGGUUUUGUUAUUCUUUCCUUUUCAUUUUUUACUUGGAUUGCAGAGUUGGUCAAGAGUGAGGUUCAUAACGACCACUUAGAACAAAGAGAAAAAGUAUAAAUCAGUACAUUUCUGAUCUAAAGCCAUUUCAGAAUGUCAUGAUAAGAAUUCACGAUUGAGAAGUGUUUAAAGACUUUCUGAGAAGUACAAAAUUGCAAAUUUAAAAACUUUUAUUGGUCAAAUCGUUUAAUAAGGUAAAAAGUUCUUUUUUUGAAAACUCAAAAUUAGUUUCCUCAGAUUUAGUGUGUGUGUGUGUUUUUGCGUAGUGCCCGUGGGCACGGGCAAUUACUAGUCCUUGAACAAAACACAACGUUAAUGUUCUAAACCCCUUGUUCAAUACAAAAAUAAUAAUAAUAAAAGUAAAAUAAAAUAUAAUAAUAAAUUAGACUCAGUAAAACUCAAUUUAGUUUUAUUCAAGAAGCCAAAGGAGUGUCCUAUAAUGGAUCUUUCCUUAAAUGUAUGUUUCAGUCAAAAUU
rnacentral:lncRNA from 1 species